CAGUAGCCACGGGAAUACGUAGGGCGCAAGCGUUAUCCGGAAUUAUUGGGCGUAAAGAGCUCGUAGGCGGUUUGUCGCGUCAGCCGUGAAAGUCCGGGGCUCAACCCCGGAUCUGCGGUGGGUACGGGCAGACUAGAGUGAUGUAGGGGAGACUGGAAUUCCUGGUGUAGCGGUGAAAUGCGCAGAUAUCAGGAGGAACACCGAUGGCGAAGGCAGGUCUCUAGGCAUUAACUGACGCUGAGGAGCGAAAGCAUGGGGAGCGAACAGGAUUAGAUACCCCCGUAGUCCCUGUCUCUUAUAC
rnacentral:rRNA from 1 species